GGCAUGGUGGCUUAGUGGUUAGCACUGUUGCCUCACACCUCUGGGGUUGGUGGGUUCGUAUCCCACCUCUGCCC